CCUACGGGUGGCAGCAGUGGGGAAUAUUGGGUAAUGGGCGCAAGCCUGACCCAGCAACGCCGCGUGAAGGAAGAAGGCUUUCGGGUUGUAAACUUCUUUUAUCAGGGACGAAGCAAGUGACGGUACCUGAUGAAUAAGCCCCGGCUAACUCCGUGCCAGCAGCCGCGGUAAUACGGAGGAUGCGAGCGUUAUCCGGAUUUAUUGGGUUUAAAGGGUGCGUAGGCGGAAGGUUAAGUCAGCGGUCAAAUGUCGGUGCUCAACACCGGCCUGCCGUUGAAACGGGUCUUCUUGAGUGAGCGAGAAGUAUGCGGAAUGCGUGGUGUAGCGGUGAAAUGCAUAGAUAUCACGCAGAACUCCGAUUGCGAAGGCAGCAUACCGGCGCUCAACUGACGCUGAGGCACGAAAGCGUGGGGAUCGAACAGGAUUAGAUACCCGAGUAGUC
rnacentral:rRNA from 1 species